AGAGCGAACGCUGGCGGCAGGCCUAACACAUGCAAGUCGAGCGCCCGUAGCAAUACGGGAGCGGCAGACGGGAGAGUAACACGUGGGAACGCGCCCUUCGGUUCGGAAUAACUCAGGGAAACUUGAGCUAAUACCGGAUACGCCCUUACGGGGAAAGAUUUAUUGCCGAAGGAACGGCCCGCGUCCGAUUAGCUAGUUGGUGAGGUAAUGGCUCACCAAGGCGACGAUCGGUAGCUGGUCUGAGAGGAUGACCAGCCUCACUGGGACUGAGACACGGCCCAGACUCCUACGGGAGGCAGCAGUGGGGAAUAUUGGACAAUGGGCGCAAGCCUGAUCCAGCCAUGCCGCGUGAGUGAUGAAGGCCUUAGGGUUGUAAAGCUCUUUUAGCAGGGAAGAUAAUGACGGUACUGCAGAAAAGCCCGGCUAACUUCGCGCCAGCAGCCGC
rnacentral:rRNA from 1 species